ACGUUGGCUCCGAUCAGAGCAUUUUAGAUGCAAAUACAAAGUUAUCAUCACGAUUCUGUUGAAACAUUGGAGUCCAACGAGUGAUCGAAUGUGUUAUCGUUGUAACAUAAUUUAUUUUUCAUAAAGAAUCAAAAGUCGACAUUGCGGUCAGUUUGAAUAGAAUUUAACGCAAAAUGAAGUUCGUUUUCAUAUUGUUUGUGAUUGGCAUUUUUUGCCUGCGAAUUUUCGCAGAGGAUUCAAUCAGUGUGGACAUAGUGAAAAACCAUAAUCGAAAAUUAAGCAGAGAUUUGAAUUUGAAGGUUGUGAAGAUAUUUAAUAAUGAAAUUGUGAAAAACACAACGUACGCACAAACUCAAACGAAGUUCGCGAAAUCAAAAGAGGACGCAUUGACAGAGUUUAAUGCCACAAAAAUUGGCGGUGGUUUUGAUAUGGUAGAUCAAUAAUUGGAUGCAUUGAACAGAGCAUUUUUCCGGAGCACAACAUUGUUUAAUAACGCUAUAGAAUAUUAUAAGAACUACAUACCAAUUCUUAUGGUUGUGUAUGAGCCACAGGUAGCGCAUGACGAAACAAAGGGCCGAGCUAUUGCAAAGUUCGUGGAAGAAGCGAGAAGUGACAACGAACUAUUUGAUUCGUUCAAACAAAAACUGGAGAAAGAGCUGGAUUAUGAGUUUCAUUGGACAUUUCCCGAAAUCAAUACCAGCGGAUGGUUUCAAUGGACAUUUCCCGGGGCUACCGGGUCACCCGGCGGAAGUAACAACCACAACAGUAAUUCCACCCUUGGGAAUACUACAAAUGCGAAUAAUUCAACAGAGGCAACCACAACGAAAAUCAGCAAAAAGAAAGAAGAUUGAUGCGAAUGCAUUUAAAACGUAUGCAUCAUCUCAAAUUAAUUCGACCAAUUUAUGCGUUUAUAUCAAAGGAAUGUUCCCAUGAUUCUCAAUGGAAAUAAAGAACAAUGCAAUUA